rnacentral:rRNA from 1 species
AAAUACCACUAAUUUUCAUGAACCCCUAAUUUAUAAUGAAUGACUCCAUAUUUAUAUGGAAGACACCAUGCUAGGAUUAGUAACAAGAAUUUAUAAUUCUCCAAAAUGCAAAUAUAAACCAACAUGGAUAGACCAUUGGUAGUUACCGAACCUAAAUUUACUGCAAUAACACCCACAAGAAAACUCUGCAGUACUUACUCGUUAACCUAACACCAGCGCAUUACAGGAAAGAUUUAAAAAAAGAGAAGGAAUUCGGCAAAUGACGGCCCCGCCUGUUUACCAAAAACAUCGCCUCUUGACUUAUAAUAAGAGGUCCAGCCUGCCCAGUGAAUUUUAAACGGCCGCGGUAUCCUAACCGCGCGAAGGUAGCAUAAUCACUUGUUCUUUAAAUGGGGACUCGUAUCAACGGCAUCACGAGGGUUUUACUGUCUCCUCUUUUUGAUCAGUGAAAUUGAUCUUCCCGUGAAGAAGCGGGAAUAUUUUUAUAAGACGAGAAGACCCCAUGGAGCUUUAAACCAAAUAACAACUUAACUACUUAUCCCACAAUAAAUUUAAGCCCUGUUAUAAGGUUUUUGGUUGGGGUGACCGCGGAGUAAAGCACAUCCUCCACGACGGAAAGAACAUAAUCUUUAUUUAAGAACCACACUUCUAGAAAUUAGUAUACUAACGUUUACUGACCCGACAAUCGAUCAACGGACCAAGUUACCCUGGGGAUAACAGCGCAAUCUACUUCAAGAGCUCAUAUCGACAAGUAGGCUUAC